UUGUGUUAAGGAUAGUAGUGGCAUCCUUUUUUUGAAGUAUGAGAAAAAAGAUAUAACGGAUAGCCUGACUUUUG
rnacentral:sRNA from 1 species